UAGCCCCUGUCCUGAAAAUGAAAUUUCUAACGAGACAACAAAUCACAUUUGGAAUUGUAUUCACGGUGGCUGUUUCCACAGUUCUGGCCAAAACAAUCACUGUGUUUCUGGCUUUCAAAUCACAGGACCUGGAAGAAGGUUGAGGAACUUCCUGGUAUCAGGUGCACCCAACCACAUUAUCCCCAUAUGUUCCUUAUUACAAUGUAUUCUGUGUGCAAUCUGGCUAGCAGUUUCUCCUCCC
rnacentral:lncRNA from 1 species